AGGCGCGGCGGUCGCUGCUUCCAAAUAACCGACAAAGGAUUAGGCGAGCUCAGAGCUCCUCUUCAUCGUGGGUGCUUUCCACGUCACGCAACAACUGGAAAGAAACAGGAAAGCAGCAGGGGCACGCAAAACCACG